rnacentral:rRNA from 1 species
GACGAACGCUGGCGGCGUGCUUAACACAUGCAAGUCGAGCGGUAAGGCCCUUUCGGGGGUACACGAGCGGCGAACGGGUGAGUAACACGUGGGUGACCUGCCCUCAGCUCUGGGAUAAGGCCUGGGAAACCGGGUCUAAUACUGGAUAUGACUCCAUGACGCAUGUUGUAGGGGUGGAAAGCCUUGUGCGGCUGAGGAUGGGCCCGCGGCCUAUCAGCUUGUUGGUGGGGUGANGGCCUACCAAGGCGACGACGGGUAGCCGGCCUGAGAGGGCGACCGGCCACACUGGGACUGAGACACGGCCCAGACUCCUACGGGAGGCAGCAGUGGGGAAUCUUGCGCAAUGGGCGAAAGCCUGACGCAGCGACGCCGCGUGAGGGAUGACGGCCUGGUGUAAC